rnacentral:misc_RNA from 1 species
AACGCAAAUUGCGCCUUCUUCCGGAAGGCAUGUCUGUUUGAGGGCACCAUUUAACAAAUAAUGUGCAUGGGUUGUGUGUAUGCGCAACAUAUGUACACGUCGAUGAGCUUUCCAAAAACGGUAGUUUUUGGUAGUGCAUAAUAAACAGCGUGGGCUUUUUUUUCAAUGCGAGUGUAAUAAAUUUUAUGACGCUUGUUGCGAAGGAAUGCUGCGCAAUGGGUGUGGCGACUUACCCCUGCCCCAAUGCCACUCUUUCUUUUCGAAAGAAUAUUUAUCUUCAGGGCCUCAAAUCAGACAAGAGUACCCGCUGAACUUAA